GGGAGCCCAGCACCCAGGGAGCACACCCUGGGGAGACGGAGCAGCAAAACCAUACACUGAGCUGGAAGAAGGGAACUUGUUCUUGCCUAUUAAGAUCACUGGACAUUUUCAAGUGUGAACUCUCUGAAGAAGGCAAACAUAAGGAAUCCCGUAUGGUAUUUGCUCCUGGAAAUCAUGAUGUGGAGCAGUGAUCACAGCCGCUAUCAACGGUAGAAUUAGAGAAAGGACACCCUUUUCAGGAGAAAAAGAUUGCACACCUGAAAACUUCCUCCAGUCAACUUCAGCUUCAGAUUGUCAUCAUCACCCAAGAUCAUGGUUGGGCACUCAGAAUGAUCCUGGGAUCCCAGAAAUUUUAGAGUCACCAGAGAAACUUUUAAUUCAAUUGACAAUGUCAAAGCUACUAUUAUGGAUAGCUACUCUUUAUUGAUCCUUUAUUAUGUGUUGGUCCUCAAAGCUGCACUUCAAAUUUUUAUAGACAAGCAUCAGACCCCUGGGGCAGCCAGGCCUGGAUCCCAGAUGAAAGGUGACUUCAGCCCACUGAUCGCUCUUAUGACUAAGUUGAUGUGUGCUCUCUUUCUGAAGUGUGAUUCCCAUUUCCCUAGAGUUUUGAUUUGAUAUUAUUUAAAAUUGAUAAACACAAAUGAAUAUAUUUACGAUAUAAAGCAUGAUAUUUUGAACCAUGUAUAUAUUGUGGGUUGA